rnacentral:rRNA from 1 species
UGGGGAAUAUUGCACAAUGGAGGGAACUCUGAUGCAGCGACGCCGCGUGAGCGAUGAAGGGAUUCGUUUCGUAAAGCUCUGUUCUAUGGGAAGAAAAGGACUGUACCAUAGGAGCAAGCCCCGGCUAAAUACGUGCCAGCAGCCGCGGUAAUACGUAUGGGGCGAGCGUUGUCCGGAAUUAUUGGGCGUAAAGGGUACGCAGGCGGUUUAUCAAGUUGGAUGUGAAAUCUUGUAGCUCAACUACAAACGUGCAUCCAAAACUGGUUAACUUGAGUUAAGGAGAGGUAAGUGGAAUUCCUAGUGUAGCGGUGGAAUGCGUAGAUAUUAGGAGGAAUACCGGUGGCGAAGGCGACUUACUGGACUUAUACUGACGCUGAGGUACGAAAGCGUGGGGAGCAAACA